GAUGAACGCUGGCGGCGUGCCUAAUACAUGCAAGUCGAACGCGCAGCGAAAGGUGCUUGCACCUUUCAAGCGAGUGGCGAACGGGUGAGUAACACGUGGAUAACCUGCCUCAAGGCUGGGGAUAACAUUUGGAAACAGAUGCUAAUACCGAAUAAAACUUAGUAUCGCAUGAUACAAAGUUGAAAGGCGCUACGGCGUCACCUAGAGAUGGGUCCGCGGUGCAUUAGUUAGUUGGUGGGGUAAAGGCCUACCAAGACAAUGAUGCAUAGCCGAGUUGAGAGACUGAUCGGCCACAUUGGGACUGAGACACGGCCCAAACUCCUACGGGAGGCUGCAGUAGGGAAUCUUCCACAAUGGGCGCAAGCCUGAUGGAGCAACGCCGCGUGUGUGAUGAAGGCUUUCGGGUCGUAAAGCACUGUUGUAUGGGAAGAAAUGCUAAAAUAGGGAAUGAUUUUAGUUUGACGGUACCAUACCAGAAAGGGACGGCUAAAUAC
rnacentral:rRNA from 1 species